GAGAUCCCAACUCCAAGUGCCCACAUCUUCGGCAGUCCAAAGAACAAAUCCAAACCUCCACGAACAGAGUACGACGGCAGCUUCAUCCUCCCGAUUCUUCCGGCACCUCAUCUAAGCCGUGAACAGCACCCAGCAUCUUCCGGAUGAGCAUUCCAUCUUCUUCUGACUUCUUCUCAUCCACAAAUCCGAACCAAAUGCAUAACAGAGCACCCUUAUCCCAAGGAACAGACCCGUAUGUGAUCUUCUCCCCUGUUUCACGCAUGGCCAGCCGUUCCCAAGCUUCACGGAAGCUUCAUCAAAACUGUCAACCGAAUCCA
rnacentral:lncRNA from 1 species